AUUUAGUAUACAGAGGAGGACACAAACAUGAGAAAAUUAAGGUAGUGAGUGAAAUAUGGUCAGGACAAAUGUAAAUUUAGAGUCUGAGUGGUGGUUUAGUGGAUUUAUGUCCUCACUUGUCACUAAUGAAAAGGACCUUGCAGGUUAUAUAAUUAAAGCUCUACUGACAUUGGCUCUUGAAGGCAAACUUCAUAAUGAGGGAAAAAGUCAAGUUUUGUGUAACCUGAAGCAUAUACAGUCUCCUGCAAAUGAUAAGAGGCUUGAGGAUACUUCCCAGGAACUCCUGCUUUUUCGGAGGUGACUCUGUCAGUUGAAGUGUGAAUGAAGAGUGGAGCAUAAAAGUGCGUUGCUGGCACUUGAGUAAAGAUAAAGAGUAGGAGAAUCAAAGCUGUUGUAUAAUUAGUUCUCUUCUCAUCCACACCCAUAAACCAGUUCAAGAAAGGGAUGAAGGU